UACGUAGGGUGCAAGCGUUAAUCGGAAUUACUGGGCGUAAAGCGUGCGCAGGCGGUCUUGCAAGACAGAUGUGAAAUCCCCGGGCUCAACCUGGGAACUGCAUUUGUGACUGCAAGGCUGGAGUGCGGCGGAGGGGGGUGGAAUUCCACGUGUAGCAGUGAAAUGCGUAGAGAUGUGGAGGAACACCGAUGGCGAAGGCAGCCCCCUGGGCCGACACUGACGCUCAUGCACGAAAGCGUGGGGAGCAAACAGG
rnacentral:rRNA from 1 species